CGGCAACAGCUCAAAUUUGAAAUCUGGCCCCAGGCCCGAGUUGUAAUUUGCAGAGGAUGCUUCUGGCGACGUGCCUUCCGAGUUCCCUGGAACGGGACGCCAUAGAGGGUGAGAGCCCCGUACGGUCGCGCACCUAGCCUCUGUGAAGCUCCUUCGAC
rnacentral:rRNA from 1 species